GGCGGAGUUCAUGUUUAACUAUGGCGGAGCACACGGUAGAACAAGGAAAAGAAGAAGAGAAGUAAAAAGAAGUUAUAUCUUUGAUUGAUGCAACAUACUUAACGUUAUACGCUUAUGCAAAACGGCUCUAAGUAUUUUAACCACAUAAAGAUUCAGAGAGGUUCAGCGCUACCACCUUUGGAGCAAUGCACAACAUGCUGCAGAAAUUUUCACUGCCCUUUUUGUGAUGGUCUUUGAGGAACCCUUUGAUUUCACAGCUUCUGAUUUCCCUCUAUUCGAAAAUGGUGAUGCCUUAUUCUGAUGGAGAACUUUGCCAUUGAAAGGAAACAUUGAUGUGCAGGUGCCACCUAAAGCACAAGAAACUGAAAUCGACGACAAGGAACCACAGAUAGUCAAAGACCUCAGGACAGGAGCUGCAUGGCUCCGGGAAAACUGCCACUCGUUCAGAGGUUUUGUGGAUGAGCCUUUUGUGGAUGAGCCGUGGUAUCGUAACCUAAAUAAGGAAGACCAGGAAAAGGCCCUUAAAGGGUAACUAAACACCUGCUCAGAGUCUGACUCCACCCACUAGAAAUAUUUGAAAAUGCUGGAAAAGUGGGCAGACCCCGGCGGGGAUAGAGGGAACGAACCGAGUGCGGGGGAGACCUGAGACUUGUAGUGACGGAUUAAUUGACAGCUGUUGUCAGACUCUAUGUUAUUAUUAUUCCUCAUUCGGUCGCAAGACAACAUGUACAUGAAUCUGGCAUGGUGAGCUGGAACCUGCUUACGUCAGCUGUCACCGCUUACAUCACGAAGUACCGCAAACAGCCAAUAGGAAAAUUCAACUGCAGUAGCCACUGUUCAACCUGAAGAGGGCAGCACUCAGACGUUUUUACACCAUAUAUUGUAGAAUUAAAACACUUUAUACACAAAUGUCAAAAAAAUUACUUGAAUCAAUGACCAGUACUAAUAAAGCCCCAUGCUUACAGAUCAUUAACUAAAAAAAGUUGGUUUAGGGUUUAGUUACCCUUUAAACUUGAUCAGGCAGAAAAGAAAGAUGAUCUGGAACUGGCCAAAGAGCCUUUCAUGUUUCAGUUCCAGUUUAAGGAAGACAUGGAACUUUUUCUUAGCAAGUGUCAUGAUGAAAGGCGCCUCAGGAUUAACUGCAUUUGUAUGGAGUUUUGAUUUAUUUUAAUUAUUUUUCUCUUGAGAAUUAUUGUUAAAUGUGUGCCUGCAUAACUUUUAUAAGAUUUAUAUUCUUUGGUUUAAUUUAGUUUUAUAUAAUUUAUUUAUUAUUUAGUUCAAUUUUGUAUUUUUCUUUAAUUACUAUUAUUUAUUUGGAGCAGGUACAGCUAGUGUGUGAUUCUUUUCAUAUUUCAAAAGAUGAUUU